UACGUAGGGGGCAAGCGUUGUCCGGAUUCAUUGGGCGUAAAGAGCUCGUAGGCGGCUUGGCAAGUCGGGUGUGAAACCUCCAGGCUCAACCUGGAGACGCCACCCGAUACUGCCAUGGCUAGAGUCCGGUAGGGGACCACGGAAUUCCUGGUGUAGCGGUGAAAUGCGCAGAUAUCAGGAGGAACACCAAUGGCGAAGGCAGCACUCUGGGACGUGACUGACGCUGAGACGCGAAAGCGUGGGGAGCAAACAGG
rnacentral:rRNA from 1 species